ACUUCUCACGAUAAUUCUACUAUCGAACAGGAACAAGAAUCAACUUUUUCGAUGCCUACGCAUAAUGUAGAUAGCAAAAUCGGUUUACCGCUGCCUGUGAGAAGCGAAUUGCUUCAUUCGAUUGGAGUAACCAGCAGGAACAAAAU
rnacentral:lncRNA from 1 species